UCGAUAUUUAGAAGCAUUUCAAAUUAUUAAAUCAAUUACAAAGAAAUAAGAUUCUCUACUUAACACACUAUUUCUUAACGUCGUAUCUUGACGUUUUCUCUUCCAUGUGGAUAUUUAUGAUGGAUCUCUUAUUCUAGUAUUAAAUAAAAAAUGUAGCUCGUCCUCAACUCUUUAUUAUCUCGACCUGAAUCCCACGCUGGGAGGGAAACAGUCUGAACAGGGUGUUGUAAUUAGUUAAAGGAGCAUUAUGUAGUUUUAAAAAUUCACAAAAAUUCUUUCUACAAUAUCGAUCAGGUAAAAACACAGGCUGAGAAAUUUUCAGAGGAAAUUCAGGUCCACGAAAACACUGUUUGUUUAUAUUUGGCGGACCCUGCCACCUUUCUGUCUACGCAGUUAAACAAAGUGAACUGGUGUUGCCCUCAACAGUCAGUUUGUUUAUUCAGUUUAUUUGGGCACGAAAACAAAGAGAGUUUCUUUGUUUAGUUUGUUUCAGCAUGAAAACAAAAAAAUGAGUCGAUGAAUCAGACUUUCUUUUCUGAUUCGAAUUUUUUCUCUAAAACUACAUAAUACACCUUUAAAAGCUAAAUGACAAAAACUUUACACUAAAACUUGACACAAUGUAGCCUAUGUGUUUUUUUCCAGCAGCUAUCAGUGGACAUAAGAGAUGCAGAGACGACAGGAAGAGUCAAAGGCUGCCACCUGAGAGCGUCCAGAACGGACCUCGCCCCGAAGGUAUGGACAAGCUUCUCAUCACUCUCUUUCUGUCUCAUCAUCGUGUUGACUGGCUGGCUGGCACGCCUGAGGACACGAGGCGGCCAGACAUAGGCACUGGCAGGUAUGUGCACACAGACAUACACUCUGGCAGGUGCAGGCUGCCAGUCGCUUCUUCAGUGUUGCUUUUCAUUAACUUGUCUAAUACAAUCAAAGACUGUCAGCAGGAGUGACAGGAGGAGAAAGAAGGAGAAGACAAGGAGUGGAGAGAGAGAUCGCCUCCUUAUUUUUUUUUUUUUUAACAGAUAUGACUCUGUCCAUGCGUCCAAAAUUGAACUUCCUUUUUCUGUCUGAUAACAUUGUGUCUGGCGCCUUUUGUCACUCCUUAAAUGUCCUCAGGCGUUUGUUGCACGCACAGAUGCGUCCCGUGCACACAGGUACAGGUGAGAAAAUGCAGCGAGAAAGGUAUGAGCGCUCUGGGCAGCGUAACAUUCUACACUGUCAGCUCGUCAAGGGCACACCUGCAAAGCAGAAGAAACGAGUAACAUGUAUCGUUGUUGAAAAGCGACAUUUUCACCAAUGCAAUCAGGACGUUUAGUGAAAUGCCACAGCUUAAUGAAAUAACGCCAGAAUACAUUUACCUCUCUGCAUAAACCGAUGGCUUAUUUCUUUGCUUUCGGGCGCCGCGUCACUUUGCUAAAGGUUAAAGGGAAGAUAUUCUAAUCAGGGACUCUUUACAGAACAGCAGCUCAAUAAGGUCAACUGGUGUCACAACAUUCAGGCUGGAGAGCGGAAUGUGUGUGUACAAGUGUGUGUACAAGUGUGUGUACAAGUGUGUGUGUGUGUCUGUUGCUUUUGCAGUGUUUGUAUUUCUUAUCUUAUCUUUAUUAAUCCUCAUUUUAUAGUUUUUAUUGUUGUCUGUCCAUUUUCAUUCCAUUAAAAUAAUGUCACUACAUCCCACACACACACACACACACACACACACACACACACACACUCAUAUGUAAAGCGCUGGUGUCUGACGGGGUGAUCCGCCGGCCAAUCGGCUGUAUUGAUUAUUGGGCCAGGGGAGGUUGGUGGAGCGGCAGCAGUAAUUAGGGCUUUUUGGUGUGGAUUAGCUGAGAGAAAAGGUCACCCGCUCAACAUCAGUGGCAGGACCGCAGGCAGGGACAGCGACAGGGAGGGCUGGACGGGUGGAGGGGGCCAUCCCCAAACGUGAUCACCAUGAUUGGCAGGGCCGUGUGCAUACAGACAGGUGCGCACAAGCAGAAAUGAAGUGACAGUCUGAAAGGUAAAUCUUGGAGUUUUUAAGGAAAUGCAUUUUUUUUUUAUGGUUGUUGUAAAACUGUGCUCGUCAAAGUCAGUGUUGAGACACAGGAGCAGGGUGACAUCGAAAAUCUGAUGGGGCAAGACACUUCAUUGUUCAGACAAAGUUGUUAACAAGCCAGCGCGUUAGAAACACUGUCAAAACCAGUUUGCCUGGAGGUAAAACCCAAAGUGAGCUCACCCUUUAUGUCAACAAAAUUCUCCCUUCGCACAAGAAAAACUGCUUGCACAGACCUACAGUAGGUGGCGUCCUGUAAAGUUAAACCAAGGUGUCGGUUUGGGUCAUGAUUUCACAGUUUGCCUUUGUUUUGAUCUGUUUGAAGGCAAACUCCAACGAUUUUACACACGAGCUUGAUUCCAGGUUUUGGGGAGAGCAACUGCGUAUGUGAAAAGAGUCGCAAUUGUGUUGGAUGCGGCUGAAGAUAACAUUUGUGUCAGCACCUCACCGCUGCUUAAUGCUGCGUUAGCCACUGCUAACUGCACUGUUACUUCAUAACAUACCCAAAUUUUAGAGCAAAAUGUUGGUGGCCCAGUUGCAUUACAGCCUCACAUAGUGUACACAUAUCUCAGGUGAAUGGCACGUCUGUGGAAAAUCUUGUUUUUCAUUUUGGCACCCAUGUUAAAGGUGAGAAAUUCGGCUCAUGUGAACCACAUGCAGAACUGCAGUAAAGCCGCAAAUGUGUUUAUGACUAUCGCAGAGCCCGUUCGGACCAUUAAAUUUGAUACAGAUUAUGUCAAAUGAUUAUUAGCCAGACAACAAGAGCUGAUGAGAGCGCUGGAGCAAUGUUUCUAGCCCUUGAAGCUAAUGUUUGCUAGCAUAUUACUGUUGACAGAAACUUAAAAUCUCACCCCCAGUUUUCCGGUGAAUAUUAAAUGUUUCUUGUGUCCAAACUGCACCACAUCCAAAACCACAACUCCUUUGGUCCUCAGCAGCAAACCAGCAAGUAUGAAGUUGAUCAGAUGAAAAAUUCUUGAGGAAUGCAAAUAAGAUCCAGACAAAGAUUCCUUGCUCUAGUGAAAUAUGGUUACAUUUGUAUGUUGGAUGGCAGGGCAUGGUUGCCUGUCGCAUAGCAUAUUAUGUUAACAUGCCUUUAUUGUGUCCUGUCUGAAUAUCUGGUGACACUUUCUAUCCUCACACAGUCUGUUUGGAUUUUGCAGUCCACCCCGAGUUGAGUAAAGUUUUGCCUGAUUGGAAUUGAGGUUUUUCCGACGUCUGACUUCUUUUAAGCAAUAUCGCCACAUUCCUGAGCGAAAUGUUUUAAGCUAUUGUACCAAUGACCGAGCAAGAAAAAAUGUGUUUGAAGUUCUACAGCAAUAACCUCUAACACAUGCAUAAAUAGAUGAAGUGCAGGUGGGCAGAUACAAGUUUGGAUGUUCUCAGACUGUGCAAAGACAUUUAAACCCUCAUUUACUGUAAGUGCAUCAAAAUAAUUAUAGUAUCUGUCUCUCUCUGUGUCUGUCUCUCUCUCUCUCUCUCUACAGACCUGCAGGUUGACUUUUCAGUGGUAUGUCAGGACUGACUGUAUCUCAGAGGGGUCAUGACCUACCCAGACUGUGACCUGGACAAACAGGACCGAGGAGCUGCAGCAGGACACGGAAUGUCCCUCUUGUUUUGUUUUCGUUUCACUUUUUUGUUGAGAAGCUGGAAUAUGCCUCCCUCUGCACUUGCCGGAGCAAAAGAAAACAUUUUCUUGGCAUCACAUGAGGCGGUUUACAUAAGAGAACGUUGUGUGAGUGUAACGAAAUUAUAAAAGCUUACGCAGUGCUCUGUGUUGCAACUGAAGACGCAUUAUUCUUUCUUUUCUCUUUGUGACUGUCGUCUUCUAAAGCCACUGAGAAUGUAAUUUAUUUUAGGAGCAGCACUUUUUCUUUGUGAACAUAUUUUUGGUGUUAGCACAGCCACUUUAUCUGUACAGUCCCAGAUUAUAUAUGCUCGCUCUGCGUCUGGUGCCAUGUGGAACCAAUUUAUUCUUAAUAAAAAAAAACAAUGUGAGUGAUUUAGAAGGUGUCCACUUGUCUGCAUUUACUGGGUGUCAGCUCCCC
ensembl:lncRNA